rnacentral:rRNA from 1 species
UACGUAGGGGGCUAGCGUUGUCCGGAAUCAUUGGGCGUAAAGAGCGUGUAGGCGGCUCGGUAAGUCCGCUGUGAAAGUCCAGGGCUCAACCCUGGAAUGCCAGUGGAAACUGUCGAGCUAGAGUCCGGAAGAGGCGAGUGGAAUUCCUGGUGUAGCGGUGAAAUGCGCAGAUAUCAGGAGGAACACCAAUGGCGAAGGCAGCUCGCUGGGACGGUACUGACGCUGAGACGCGAAAGCUGGGGGAGCAAACAGG